CAUACUAUGAACGUAGUAGAAUGGCGGUCGGGCAAAUAUGCCCCCAUCGUCUAGUGGUUCAGGACAUCUCUCU
rnacentral:tRNA from 1 species